UUAUCUUUCGUAACGGGAUGCUAAGAAACAACAUGGCACAAGGCGAUCGUUUGAGGCAGGUGGGCAAUUUUGCUCUGCAAUAAACUGUCAGAACACCAGAUUUAAAUCAAUCUGACAAGAAAAACGUUUCCACAAUUUCCCAAAGGACGAAGAGAGUACUUUCCCAGCUGCACCUUUUGCAAUGUCAGUGGCCAGAGAUGGCCAUAGUGUAUGGAUGCAGACAAAGGCUUAUUACACAACGUGGCAACCCUUCAAAACUACAAAAGGUUAAAAAAUAGGCAGCCAUUAAAUUGUACAACUUUUGCUGGACAUUACAUGGCAUCCAAUUGGAGAACUAUACAAGAGUGAUCUGUCAUGUAAGUUCAACAGUGGCAAUAGCAUUUUAGCGUGUCUCCAAAUGCUGGAAACAUUUUUUUCUAAAACCUUCCUUGGAACAUUGAUAAACGUAAGGUUUUUGACAAUGAUAUAAUCAUUUGUGGGAUCUGUAGAUAUUAGUUCAAAAUAACAUGCCAGUGCUUUCCCCUUCAAACAAUUCAGCCAUUAUCCCAGAUUCAUCUCUCUUCCACUUUAGUGAAAAUUUUUUUUCCCCCAAGUCGGAAGAGGUAACUUUAAGAGGCAUAUAUCAUUUGUCUCAUGGGGCGUGUAGUUUUCUUCUAUCAAUAUAUAGCUUUCUUUUUUCUAACUUUUUAUAGCAGGUUUUUCUUUUGGUUAGAUCUCUAAGGGUAGUCUGCAUGUAGCAUUUUCUGCCUUACUGUCAAAUUUGAACAGUUCAGCUUCAUGGCGCAGUUGUAUAAUCACGAACUAGUGUCCCGUGGCUGUUUCACUUACCAACCCAUUGCUGACAUAAUGUUAUGAAAGUUCGCAUAUAGUACGGAUCAUUUUGAACAUUUUAUUUAAUGGCUAUAAGCCCAGGGGCAUUUUUAGCCAUAACAUCACAGUUAUAAAAAACAUAAUGACAAUUUUAUCUCAGUAACAAGCUCACAACAGGUGGUGACAAUAUAGCAUCGAGUCUCAGCAGCUAAGGUCAAUUGCAACUGUGUAGUUGAAUCAGAAUGCAGCCCCGGUGGCGCAACGGUUAGCGCUGUUAGCGCCUGUCACCAAUACAGUGAAGGUUGGCUGCCCUGAGUUCAUUUCUCGUCUCGGGCAUGCUGUUCUUUCUCUGCACGUGGCAUCUGUUUACAGGGC